UACGUAGGGGGCGAGCGUUGUCCGGAAUCAUUGGGCGUAAAGCGCGUGUAGGCGGCCCGGUAAGUCCGCUGUGAAAGUCCAGGGCUCAACCCUGGGAUGCCGGUGGAUACUGUCGGGCUCGAGUCCGGAAGAGGCGAGUGGAAUUCCUGGUGUAGCGGUGAAAUGCGCAGAUAUCAGGAGGAACACCAAUGGCGAAGGCAGCUCGCUGGAACGUGACUGACGCUGAGACGCGAAAGCGUGGGGAGCAAACAGG
rnacentral:rRNA from 1 species